rnacentral:rRNA from 1 species
GUCUUUUUGAAUUUAAUAUAAAGUCUGUUCUGCCCCUGAUUUAUUAAAUGGCCGCAGUAUAUUAACUGUGCAAAGGUAGCAUAAUCAUUAGUUUUUUAAUUGGAGACUUGUAUGAAUGAUUGGACGAGAUAUAAACUGUUUCAAAAAAAUAGAUAGAAUUUUAUUUUUUAGUUAAAAAGCUAAAAUUUUAUUAAAAGACGAGAAGACCCUAUAGAUCUUUAUAAUUUAAUAAUUAUUAGUUUUAAAGAUUUGUUUUACAAUAAUUAUUUUAUUAUUUUAUUGGGGUGAUAUUGAAAUUUAAAAAACUUUUAAUUAAAGUUAUUCCAUUAAUUUAUGUAUAAAUGAUCCAUUUUUAGUGAUUAAAAAUUUAAGUUACCUUAGGGAUAACAGCGUAAUUAUUUUGGAGAGUUCUUAUCGAUAAAAUAGUUUGCGACCUCGAUGUUGGAUUAAGAUUAAUUUUAGGCGCAGUAGUUUAAAAGAUUAAGUCUGUUCGACUUUUAAUUUCUU